rnacentral:hammerhead_ribozyme from 1 species
GUGCUGCUGAGGGGUCCCACAAUAGGACGAAACGGCCGUUCAGUGC